CCCUUAGAUGUUCUGGGCCGCACGCGCGCUACACUGACGAAUGCAACGAGCUUAUAACCUUGGCCGAAAGGUCUGGGUAAUCUCCAAAUUUCGUCGUGAUGGGGAUAGAUUAUUUCAAUUAUUAAUCUUCAACGAGGAAUGCCUAGUAAGCGCAAGUCAUCAGCUUGCGUUGAUUACGUCCCUGCCCUUUGUACACACCGCCCGUCGCUCCUACCGAUUGAAUGGUCCGGUGAAGCGUUCGGACCGUGGCCUUUGGACGGUUCGCCGUCUGUUGGCUGCGGGAAGUUCGUUAAACCUUAUCAUUUAGAGGAAGGAGAANUCGUANCA
rnacentral:rRNA from 1 species